UCUAAAUUAGGGAUUCAGAGGAGUGCGGUUAUGAGCCAGAGGUACUACAGUACCUGAACUGAAUGUUUUAGAUUAGACUGUGCUGUCUGGGUCCACUGCUGCAUUUCAAGGAUGGCCCUACACAGUCUAUGAGCAUUCCCAUCUGAACACAGCUGCAUCCGUUCAUUUAGAGAGAAACACAAGCUACGAACACAGAGAGGAUAGGGUAGGAGCGGGAAGAUGGGUAGAUGGAUGAGAGGAUAAUGAGGGAAAUGAAAGGACAGAGAAAGACAGUGGGGGUGAGAGACAAAUAGUGGAUAGUAAGAAGUGAGAAAGACAGAGGGAGAAAGACAAAAGAAUGGUAAAGGAAAAAAUACACCAAAAUAUAUAUAUAUUUUUAAUGUAAUGCAUUUGUUUUGAUAUUCACGGUGCUAGUAGCUACAGCAGGGACAUUCAUCGCUACCUGUCUAAUUCUCUGGCCACUGCAUCCACAGCCGAAGUCACAUGGGCUGGAAAUUCUUCAUGUAUGUCUUCUGACCCAAGUUCUCCUUCGAGUUGAUGAAGCCGUGCCACAAUCUUCUUCAGGCUCUGGUCAAAGUCCUAAACAAAACAUGCCUGCUCACCUGGAGUUUGUUCACCAAGAAGGGUUGGCAGUCCUCUAGUGGAGCCCAGGAAUGGUCUUCCCAAUGGGGGUCCCUGGUGCCCUGGGCUAGAUUCUUCCUCUGGGACUUCAAGUCAGAGAAAACUGGCCCCAGGGCUAUGGCCUGAUCUAGCAGGGUCCGGGCCUGUUUGGCGACCUGUCUGUUUUGGGCCAAGCCAGGCCAGGGAAAGAGUUGGGGGAGCUGGGUAAUCUGUUGCUGGAGAUUGGCCAAUGUGGAGCGAGCCUGCUGCCUCUGGACAAGAAGAGAGGACGAGAGCUCGGGGUCGCCCCGGAGGAGACUGACAGUGAAACAAAGACAGACAAUCUUCUUUAGAGUUAAAGAAAUACCUUUCAUUGAGGGGACCUAGAGCUGGUUACUGAGG
rnacentral:lncRNA from 1 species